GCUAUUCGGGCUGCGGGCUUGGGUGCCACCCCAGGAGAAGUGCGCAGCCCUGGUGCUGGGCGAUGUUCCUCCUGUUCUGCCGGCUGCUCACCAGACAAGGGCCUGAGCCCCAAGUCCAUCCUGAGUGACAGGCUGUAAACAGGACCUUGUCCCACCAGCUGACAGUCAUACUCAUCUCUGGUGUCUGUCCCUCCAGGGUCUGCAGGCUUUCCUGGUGUCCCUCACCUGGCAGUAACCUACCAACGACAAAGUCCUACCAGGGCCCACUGCCCACUGCCUCCCCUCAAACCUGCCCCUGUGACCUGGCCUCUCUGGGCUCCUUUCCUACUUAAGCCAAGUAACUGUCGUUGCUUUUUCCUGGUUUCCACUGACCUCAGGCUGUGUCCCCUGUCACUGAAUCAGCCCCAGUGUCCCCACCAGACCAAGGUCAUGCCCCACCC